CGCGGCCUAUCAGCUUGUUGGUGGGGUGAUGGCUCACCAAGGCGACGGCGGGUAGCCGGCCUGAGAGGGCGACCGGCCACACUGGGACUGAGACACGGCCCAGACUCCUACGGGAGGCAGCAGUGGGGAAUAUUGCACAAUGGGCGCAAGCCUGAUGCAGCGACGCCGCGUGAGGGAUGGAGGCCUUCGGGUUGUAAACCUCUUUCAGCAGGGAAGAAGCGCAAGUGACGGUACCUGCAGAAGAAGCGCCGGCUAACUACGUGCCAGCAGCCGCGGUAAUACGUAGGGCGCAAGCGUUGUCCGGAAUUAUUGGGCGUAAAGAGCUCGUAGGCGGUUUGUCGCGUCUGCUGUGAAAACCUGAGGCUCAACCUCGGGCUUGCAGUGGGUACGGGCAGACUAGAGUGCGGUAGGGGUGACUGGAAUUCCUGGUGUAGCGGUGGAAUGCGCAGAUAUCAGGAGGAACACCGAUGGCGAAGGCAGGUCACUGGGCCGCAACUGACGCUGAGGAGCGAAAGCAUGGGGAGCGAACAGGAUUAGAUACCCUGGUAGUCCAUGCCGUAAACGUUGGGCACUAGGUGUGGGGCUCAUUCCACGAGUUCCGUGCCGCAGCAAACGCAUUAAGUGCCCCGCCUGGGGAGUACGG
rnacentral:rRNA from 1 species